UACACAUGUAGAGGUGCGAAUAUUAUAAGUAUUUUUCCAGAGUGGAUAACAAUGAAGGAAAUUGAAAGGAAUAUUUGCCGAAAUCAGUUAAGCGUCAUCUUAACUGGUUGGUAACGUCACCGAAAGGAACGUUACUGCCAUAGUCAUUUUUGAUUAACUAUGGAGCGCUACUCGUGGG
rnacentral:ncRNA from 2 species